rnacentral:rRNA from 1 species
GAGUUUGAUCCUGGCUCAUGACGAACGCUGGCGGCGUGCUUAACACAUGCAAGUCGAACGGAAAGGCCCCGCUCGCGGGGUACUCGAGUGGCGAACGGGUGAGUAACACGUGGGUGAUCUGCCCUGCACUUCGGGAUAAGCCUGGGAAACUGGGUCUAAUACCGGAUAUGACCUCCCUUUAGUGUGGGGGGUGGAAAGAUUUAUCGGUGCAGGAUGAGCCCGCGGCCUAUCAGCUUGUUGGUGGGGUAAUGGCCUACCAAGGCGUCGACGGGUAGCCGGCCUGAGAGGGUGGACGGCCACAUUGGGACUGAGAUACGGCCCAGACUCCUACGGGAGGCAGCAGUGGGGAAUAUUGCACAAUGGGCGGAAGCCUGAUGCAGCGACGCCGCGUGGGGGAUGACGGCCUUCGGGUUGUAAACCUCUUUCGACAGGGACGAAGUGAAAAUGACGGUACCUGUAUAAGAAGCACCGGCUAACUACGUGCCAGCAGCCGCGGUAAUACGUAGGGUGCGAGCGUUGUCCGGAAUUACUGGGCGUAAAGAGCUCGUAGGUGGUUUGUCACGUCGUCUGUGAAAUUCCGGGGCUUAACCUCGGGCGUGCAGGCGAUACGGGCAAUACUUGAGUGCUGUAGGGGAGACUGGAAUUCCUGGUGUAGCGGUGAAAUGCGCAGAUAUCAGGAGGAACACCAAUGGCGGAAGGCAGGUCUCUGGGCCAGUUACUGACGCUGAGGAGCGAAAGCAUGGGUAGCGAACAGGAUUAGAUACCCUGGUAGUCCAUGCCGUAAACGGUGGGCGCUAGGUGUAGGGGACUUCCACGUUCUCUGUGCCGUAGCUAACGCAUUAAGCGCCCCGCCUGGGGAGUACGGCCGCAAGGCUAAAACUCAAAGGAAUUGACGGGGGCCCGCACAAGCGGCGGAGCAUGUGGAUUAAUUCGAUGCAACGCGAAGAACCUUACCUGGGCUUGACAUACACCGGACCGGCGUAGAGAUACGUCUUCCCUUGUGGCCGGUGUACAGGUGGUGCAUGGUUGUCGUCAGCUCGUGUCGUGAGAUGUUGGGUUAAGUCCCGCAACGAGCGCAACCCUUGUCUUAUGUUGCCAGCACGUGAUGGUGGGGACUCAUGAGAGACUGCCGGGGUCAACUCGGAGGAAGGUGGGGAUGACGUCAAAUCAUCAUGCCCCUUAUGUCCAGGGCUUCACACAUGCUACAAUGGUCGGUACAGCAGGUCGCGAACUCGUGAGAGUAAGCCAAUCCUUCAAAGCCGGCCUCAGUUCGGAUUGGGGUCUGCAACUCGACCCCAUGAAGUCGGAGUCGCUAGUAAUCGCAGAUCAGCAACGCUGCGAUGAAUACGUUGCCCGGGCCUGUACACACCGCCCGUCA